AUUGAACGCUGGCGGCAGGCCUAACACAUGCAAGUCGAACGAGUGGCGGACGGGUGAGUAAUGUCUGGGAAACUGGCUGAUGGAGGGGGAUAACUACUGGAAACGGUAGCUAAUACCGCAUACCCUCAGAUGUGCCCAGAUGGGAUUAGCUUGUUGGGGGGGUAACGGCGCACCAAGGCGACGAUCCCUAGCUGGGCUGAGAGGAUGAACAGCCACACGGGAACUGGGACACGGUCCAGACUCCUACGGGAGGCAGCAGUGGGGAAUAUUGCACAAUGGGCGAAAGCCUGAUGCAGCCAUGCCGCGUGUAUGAAGAAGGCCUUCGGGUUGUAAAGUUCUUUCAGCGGGGAGGCGUUACCCGCAGAAGAAGCACCGGCUAACUCCGUGCCAGCAGCCGCGGUAAUAC
rnacentral:rRNA from 1 species